rnacentral:lncRNA from 1 species
CUCUGGGCGUGGAUAACUAAUCAGACUGCAUAAAUGACAAAAGCCCUCUCAUCCCACAGCAGGUUAUUGGGAGUCGUACCUUGACUUCAGUUCAUUUUGCUCACAUAGACCAAAAAGUAAAGCCCAAGAAAGGACAAUUUGCAAAACGGUGGUGCCAAGGUCAUUUGUUUGCAACAUGAUGCUCGGUAGGAAGUGAGAGGACGAGCAGCACCAGCAAACACAGGACCUUCCCUCCCCUCUGCAGAUCACAGUGAAAGCUGUAGCCCACAGUGUUGCUCACGAUUUCAGAGGAGAAUUGAAAAUGAGGAGGAAUGGAAUAUUCGCAAGUGUCUACUUGUCAACAAAGCGUGCCAGGUGUGUUCUCUCAUCUCCGGGGAUCAGCAGCUUCCUGUAAUCUCCCUUUAUGCCUUUCAUUCACUCUAAUCACAAGGAUUUUACAAGAGGCCCUCCUUGACCCCAGGCAUGAGCUCGGCCCUUUAUUUGUAAGUGAACUCAGCAGUGUUCACUUAACACUUUUAAGGAUCUGCGCCCAGGGAAGGGGAAGCGUGGUCAGACAGCAGGCUCUCUGAACUCACCUUUCUGGACAAAGAUCUCCCUAGGCAUUGUACACGCCUCCUUCUUUUCUUUCCCCUUGAGCUGUCCGGGUUUCACAGCAAGUUAUAAAGCGAAGAGCCUCACCUGCCUUUGAGACCACCUCCCCUUGGCCCAGCUCAGUAGCUGGUCCUCAGCAACCUGAGCGGCUCACUUGGGAGGCUGCAUGGCCGAGCAGGCGAAGCACUUACAGUGGAAGCGAGGCCUGUGAUGCUGUCAACUUGCUUCUUAACCCUAGGAUGCUGUGAGAAUUAAAUUACAUAGUAGCUGCAAAAUAAUUUGGCUUUCUUGGAGUUGGACACCACCUGAACCUGAGUGAAAUGAUUGUGCACUUCUUAAUGGCCUCCAUCUCUGGCCAAGCUGCCUUGGGACCAGAACAAUCAUCUAAGUCCCAGUUUCCAGCCUAAAACAGCAUGAGGACAAGGCCAGGAGGCCACAGCAAGGCUGUAAUCAGAACCCACAAGGAUUGCAUGGAGAUGCUGCAGUGCCGCCACCACCCAACGGCCGGAGCCCCCAGCAAAGAGUUUUCCACAAAAUGGGAGAAAAGUAUAAGAAGCUCUUCCUGCUAUGGGGAAACAAGGCAACUCAGAGGACUGAGAGACUCAGGACUUCCAGACAGAGGAUCAGGCGUACCUCAUGCAUGGGUGUUUUGGAAGAAGGCCAUUUUGAAACCUACUCUGUAUCAUUACAGACUUUCAGUGAAUUAAUUUAGAAUAAAUCCACCUCCUUCCCUGUAUGUGGUAGAAUUUCACUGGGAUACAACGUGAGGACAGAGAUUUGAACCCUCAGUCCCACUUAUGAUGCGGGGCUUCAGGGGCACCACGGACAUGCUCCGCAUUCACCCAUCUGUGGGGGAGGACUAAGGAAGCUGCGCUGGUGUGUGAGAAAGUAAUGGGCUCUUUUAAGCCCUUUUACUUAAAGCAAUAAAAGAAUAACUGCGUCAUCUGCUGGAGUAAAAGUUUUCAACAGAUGACCGGCUUGGUUCUUAAAACACACACACACACACACACACACACACGAGGAGUGAACCACACAGCAUGCAAAUGAGAGGAACAAACGCUUUUGUUUGUUGGAGAUUAAUUUUUAUGGAAAGUUGUACAUUGCAGAUUGCAAUCAACCUGACACAUUCUCUCCCUCCUGCUCCUUCUCUCAGUUGGCUUUGAGGAGAGGCACUUCCAAGUUUGAGAAUUCAUCUUGUCUGAUUAAUGAUGUGUACACAGAGAUUUCAGUCUCAUCUUCCUUCUCUGGGUCCUUUUUAUUCAGUUGUUUGCUGUGCUACAACCCUGCGGAUAGAUGGUUCUGCCGUGAUAAAUGUAAAGUUUGCAUAAGCCAUGUAACAGCAGGACAGCCUAUUAUCACCGUACAUUUUCCAUGGCUGUGCAAACCUCUGUAGGCUAUUUUAUUGCUAAUAGAUCCACAGAGAAACAGUAGUGAUUUUACGACUCUUUUUAAAAUGGAAAUUCAUGUUUGAGAAAUACAACUGGGAGGAAACAGAUGUAAACCACUUAAGCAUUUGCAGAAAAUUGAGAUGCACACUCUUAUUUACAGACCUACAUAGCCUCCAUCGCUUUAUUUUCAAAAUUAAAAUAAGCAAUCUGUUUACCAUGGGAAAUGAUGAACUGUAAACUUGUUGUUUUUCCUUUUACAUGGCAAUGGCCGCCAUCGUUGGGUUUAAUGGCAGAACUGAAGCAGGCAGCGUGGCAAUUUUUUCCCCUUAGGUUUUAUUGUCUGUAAUGCAUUCCCUCUGUAAUCUGCGCGAGAGGUAGGUAAGUGGGAAAGAUUUUCGUGUAACUGUAUGUCUGAAUUCACAUUAUGCUUGAACAGCUAAAAUGAUUACCAGACACAUUAGAAAGAUUUUAACCAGGUAUUUAACACUAUCUGUAAAUUGCUUAAAAUACUGGAAGAGUCAACCUCCACAAAAACGCUUUCACAUGGCCAAACACAAAAGCACAACCCAUCCAAAAACAUUUAUUCUGGCCUCGUCCCAACUUUCUCACAUCUUUUGGAGUUGUGACAAAUGUCACAUGUUGGAAAGGAGAUACAAAUGGAAGCAUCACAAAACAAUAUAGCAAUGAGAAGUCUGUCCACCAGACUCAUCAGAGCAAGCUCCUUGUGGCAUGUGGAAGCUCCUCUGGUUUUUAAUUUCAGCAUUGAUCUUUUUUUUUUUUUUUUUUUUUAGGUCUAGAACUACAUUUUUUGUUGCGGCAAAAUAUAUGCAACACAAAAUUGACCGUUUUAACCAUUUCUAAGUAUACAAUUCAGUGGCAUGAAAUGCAUUCACAUUGUCGUGCAACCAGCACCACCAUCCAGCUCCAGAACUUCAUCACAGACUGAAACUCUGUACCCAUGAAAGCAAAGACUCGCCAUUUCCCCCUCUUCUCCCAGCCCCUAGUAAUUUCUAUUCUACCUUCUGGCUGUAUGAAUUUGCCUAUCCUAGGCACCUCAUAUAAGUGGAAUUAUACAGUACUUGUCCCUUUGUAACUAGCUUAUUUCACUUAGCAUAAUGUCCUCAGGGUUCACCCAUGUUGUAGCAUGUAUCAGAAUGUCUUUCCUUUCUAAGGCUGAAUAAUAUUCCAUGGUGUGUAUAUACCACAUUUUGUUUAUCUGCCCUGUGUGGCUAGUCCUGGGAUUUUAAUAUUGAGGAGGUAUCCCCAUCAACCCGGGGAUGGAAGUGGCCUGCUUAUUCGUGAGCACUGCAAAGCAGGACGGCUAAGGAGAAUGAGAGGCGUCCAGACUAGGUCUGCAGAAUCAGGCAGGGAGGGCUCCUGGAAACUAUAGGUUUCUGGUCUCUGUAUAACAAUCACCAGCUGUGGGAAUAUUUUGCUUUCAUCCUUAAGCUUUGUUUUAAAUGUCAAAGGAGACUAAGCUAGACCCUCUUAGGAACUGAAAUUUUUCUCGGAGACAAGAUAUGAUGGACUUCGGCCCAAAGUCAGAUAACAGAAUGUGUUUCCAACCCCAUGCCUCCCCAAGCCACUCACUGCCACUGGGGAAGGCACUCGGGAGACUCCCUGAUCAUGGCCCUUGGAUUGCAUCAAAUGAGGCACAGCCACAGUGAGCAGGCUCUGAGCUCACUCACUCUUGGUGGAAACCAUACUAUAUGGAGA